rnacentral:lncRNA from 1 species
UGAAAAUGAAAAUUACUUGGGCAGGUACAUAAACACAUCUUGCCAACCCGAAAGCUGAUUGAUUUGGUAUUGAAUUUGAGGGGCAAAAGGGUCAUCUUCAGCAUCAUCCAUAAGAUUCAACUGAAAAUCAAAGGCUGAAACUGGGUCUGAGCCCAGAACAAAUUCAUUCCACUUGGGCUCACUUUGAACUUCCUUAUUAUCGCACGUGACAUCCGGUGAAACCACGUGGUCAGAACCGCUUGAGUCGGUAUGAAACAGUGGCACCGAAUCUGAUGUGUCAGUGUACAAUUGAUCAUCCUGGCCGUUCAUGUUCAUCUUGAUAUGAGGCUUUGUCUCAUUCUCAAAUUGAGAAAACAUUGGUGGUUUUGUGUCAUUGUAUUUCUCAAUCUUCCCUUUCUUGUUGUAAAUUCGACACAACACCCAAUCAUCGAGCUGCAAUUAAAUUAAUUGUAACUGUGAGUGUGAGAUCAUCGACAAAUAUAACAUAAUCGAUAGAAUGAUUUGGUGGAAUGUACAUACUCUUAAAUUGUGGUUAUUUUUUGAAGCGGAUCUAUCAACAUUAGCAAGACGAUACUCAUGCAUGAUCCAAUUGGUUUUAAUUCCUUUGGGAGCUUUGCCAGCAUAGAAAACGAGUGCUUUCUUUAUACCAAGUGCCUUAGGCUUUCCAAUCGGCUUAUCAGCUCCGGUCGCCUUCCAAUAUCCGGUUCCCGCAGCCCGGUUCGGCCGUGAACCGUUUGGAUAUUUUCGAUCCCUUGGAGAGAAAAAAUACCACUCUUUCUCACCGUAAAGAGCCAUUUCUGUAUACAAAACAAAAUUAGCAUUGAAAUUUAAAAAAUAUUGUUGGUCCGUCCACUAGACACGAUGAAAAAGUACCUGGAAGAUGCCAUGGAUCAAACUUAUACAAAUCAAUUUCUUUGAUAAUAGGAACAGCAAUUGGAAGGGAAGCACACUUUCUACACAAGUAGUGAUUCACAAGCUCAUCAUCAGUAGGGUGAAAUCUGAAGCCAGGUGGUAACUCUAAUGCUCCUUGCAUUCGCGUCGUAUAUUCUUCUUUCUCUUCUUCUGUGUUGUGUUGUGUUGAUUGAUA